rnacentral:rRNA from 1 species
UACGUAGGGACCAAGCGUUGUUCGGAUUUACUGGGCGUAAAGGGCGCGUAGGCGGCCUGUUAAGUCAGCUGUGAAAUCUCCGAGCUUAACUCGGAACUGUCAGCUGAUACUGAUGUGCUAGAGUGCAGAAGGGGCAAUCGGAAUUCUUGGUGUAGCGGUGAAAUGCGUAGAUAUCAAGAGGAACACCUGAGGUGAAGACGGGUUGCUGGGCUGACACUGACGCUGAGGCGCGAAAGCCAGGGGAGCAAACGGG